rnacentral:misc_RNA from 1 species
UCUCCGUAGGUGAACCUGCGGAGGGAUCAUUACUGAGUGAGGGCCUUCGGGCUCGACCUCCAACCCUUUGUGAAUCGUACUCGUUGCUUCGGGGGCGACCCUGCCGUCCGCGGCUGAGCGCCCCCGGGGUCAAUCAAACACUGCAUUCUCUGCGUCGGAGUAUUAGUAAAUCUAAUCAAAACUUUCAACAACGGAUCUCUUGGUUCUGGCAUCGAUGAAGAACGCAGC